AGAAUCAACGCUGGCGGCGUGCCUAACACAUGCAAGUCGAACGAGAAAGUGGAGCAAUCCAUGAGUACAGUGGCGUACGGGUGAGUAACACGUGACUAACCUACCCUCGAGUGGGGAAUAACCUCGGGAAACCGGGGCUAAUACCGCAUAACAUCUUCGGAUCAAAUGCGUAAGCAGCUUGAGGAGGGGGUCGCGGCCGAUUAGCUAGUUGGUGGGGUAAUGGCCCACCAAGGCAAUGAUCGGUAGCCGGCCUGAGAGGGCGCACGGCCACACUGGAACUGAAACACGGUCCAGACUCCUACGGGAGGCAGCAGUGGGGAAUUUUGCGCAAUGGGGGAAACCCUGACGCAGCAACGCCGCGUGGAGGAUGAAGCCCCUUGGGGUGUAAACUCCUUUCGAUCGGGACGAUUAUGACGGUACCGGAUGAAGAGCACCGGCUAACUCUGCGCCAGCAGCCGC
rnacentral:rRNA from 1 species